rnacentral:rRNA from 1 species
UACGUAGGUGGCAAGCGUUGUCCGGAUUUACUGGGCGUAAAGCGCGCGCAGGCGGUUCGGUACGUCCGGCGUGAAAGCUCCCGGCUCAACUGGGAGAGGGCGUUGGAUACGGCCGGACUGGAGGGCGGUAGAGGUCGGUGGAAUUCCCGGUGUAGUGGUGAAAUGCGCAGAGAUCGGGAGGAACACCUGUGGCGAAGGCGGCCGACUGGGCCGUCCCUGACGCUGAGGCGCGAAAGCGUGGGGAGCGAACCGG